AACAUUGACUAUGUACGAUGAACGCAUCAGUAUUUCGUGUGUAUUUGAGUCUGGACGCCUUCUAAUUGACCGUAUAUGUGACCUCUACAGACUGCUGGUUGUCAUAUAAUACGAUAUAAAUAUAAAUACAGAUAUAAAUAGAUAGUGAAGACGUGCAUUUGGUUUUUGCUUUGAUUUCAUAUCAUAGGUUUCGACAAUACAUUAAUCAUCAUUUGUGUCGGUAUUAUAAUAUGUUGUUUUAGAUUGAACCAGUAAAUCAUAUUGUUUAACGUUGUUAUACUUUAAUGUUGGUGUUCUUUUCCUUUUCAUAAUAUAACACGCCUUGCUUACGUGUAACCUAUGUCUAGCUAAGGGGUUAAAUUGAAGGUCACAUGAAAAAGGAUUCAACGAGGUCAUACUCUGAACUUAACUUGCAAGUGAUUUUUUUGUUAUCAGCGAUUUUUCUAAGCUAUUUUGACAAAAUUGAACCAUACUAAAUGCAUGAUUAUUCUAAUAUUUCAUUUUCAAUAAUGAACAAACAUAACAAAAUAUUCGUCUCAAUGCAAUUUUAUAAAAGAGUCUUCUGAAAAACUUUUAAUACAUUUUUUAUUUUAACUUGUUAAAACGGUUUUGAUUGUCUGGCUUUUUGUAUCCAUACGUAUAAACAUGAUAAAGGAUAAUCCAAUAGUUAUUCAUGAUAAAAUUAAGGGUCGCGCACAAUUCCACUAUACUACAAUUAUGCUGUUGGAACGUAUACUUAAACUGUAGGUAUAAAUAUGAAAAUAAAAAGAUACAUAUAUCCACCAGAGACCAAAUGAAAUAUAAGAAUUUACAAUUAUAGGUCACUGUACGGUCUUCAACAGUCAUACCGCAUAAUCAGCUAUAAAUGGACCGAAUUACAAGUCGUGUUAAACAAUUCAAACAAGAAAACUAACUGCCUGAUUUAUGUACGCGCGUCUGGCGUACUAAAUUAUAAUCAUGGUACCUUUGAUAACUAUGUAACAAAACAAUGAACGAAAAACAUAUAUUUUAACAUCUGAUAAAAAAAAAUCAUGCAUCUAAAACUACAGAAUUAAUUAGUAAACAUCAAUUACACAUAUCCAUAUUCAAAGCGUAUUUAUGUAUACUUUUAAAAGUGUUAAUAAAUAACUCAAAAAUUUAUAAUCAUGAACAUAAUACACAGUUUCAUAACUAUUUUAUAACUUUUUUGAUCUGAGCGUCACUGAUGAGUCUUAUGAAGACGAAACGCGCGUCUUGCGUGAUGAAUUAUGCUUCUGGUAUCUUUGAUAGCAAACAAUCAAAUCACUUUCAUGGUUGAUAUAGUCAUUGAAGAAACAAAAAAUAAUCUGUAAUUAAUACCAAAGAAACAUCAGUUUUGGAAAGAGUAUUUACUAAACAAACAGCAGUAGGAUAUUUGUUUAGCUUCAUUAAACUGACGUGUUAAUAUUAAUCUUUAUAUAUGUCAUUAGUAAAGUGUUUUUGGGUCUAUGAUACCUGUUUUAGUCGAGGUGUUGCCAAGUGUUAAUAUAGCUUGUUAAAACCAAUAACGACUGUACUGGAACAUUAUAUAUGAUUAAAUUGCAAACACUCGUUUAAUGAUAUCAGCAUUAUUCGAUACUUUAAAUAAUCUCCCAAGCAGACUCAGAUCGAAUUUAUCAAUGAUUCGAAAGGCCAAAAACGGUCAAACAUAUAAACUAUAAAAGUAUAGUUUCAUGUUGAACAACGCCCUCAGAACAAGUAUCCUUAACGGUUGACAAAUUUGUAUAUCGAACCUUCGUAUGAGUCACAAUGGUAUAGUAUUUAAAAAAAAUGUUUUAUCAUUACAUAUCAAAAUUAACAACUUUAACAUCAAACUUGAUAAAAUAUAAAACUUUACAAAAGACACACACUGCAUCUUUUCUGACAUCUUUAUGAACCAUUAUCAGACAUUUUAAAUUCUCUAUUAUACCUGGGUUUUUGUUCUAUAAUUAGUAAUCAAUGGUACCAAGUUUAUAGUGUUAUUCGCCAGACGCGCGUUUCGUCUACAUAAGACUCAUCAGUUACGCUCAAAUCAAAAUAGUUAUAAAGCCAAAAAAAAAAAAAAAAAAGACAAAGUGGUAGAGCAUUGAGGACCAAAAAUUCCAAAAAAUUGUGCCAAAUACGGUUAAGGUAAUAUAUGCCUGGGAUAAGAUAACCCUUAGUUUUUCGAAAAAUGCAUUAGUUUUGUAAGCAGGAAUUUUAUAAAAAUUACCAUAUAGUAUGAAAUUCAAAACAGUGUGGCUGUGGCCAUUGAUUGACACAUUAAAUUCAUCCAUUGACUGGGACAAUUUACGUGACCGUUUGUCUGUAACGACCACUGUUCAC
rnacentral:lncRNA from 1 species